CAAACGACUCUCGGCAACGGAUAUCUCGGCUCAUGCAUCGAUGAAGAACGUAGCGAAAUGCGAUACUUGGUGUGAAUUGCAGAAUCCCGUGAACCAUCGAGUUUUUGAACGCAAGUUGCGCCCGAAGCCAUUCGGCCAAGGGCACGUCUGCCUGGGCGUCACGC
rnacentral:rRNA from 1 species